AUGGCCGGAAUUGUCAACAAAGAGUUUCCUGAGUUGGCCCAGACAGGGCUGAACUACCUGUCAUGGUCCUCGGACUGCGAGAUUUUUCUCCAGGGCAAAACCCUCCCGAGGGCGAUCGGUAAGGGGGCCCAACUGGCCGCCACUGAUCGCAAGUUCGAAACUGAGAAUGCGUAGGCUCUGCACUUUCUCCGUCAUCACCUGUCACCUACUCUGAAAGAUGAGUAUAUGGCUGAGCGCAGUGCUUCUGGCCUUUGGACCGCUCUUAAGCAGCGGUUUGAGCGGCCGAAGUACACUGUGAAGCCACGUGCAGAGGCAAAGUGGAUCCAUCUAAGACAGAAGAUUGAGAAAACCCUAUCCACUUUCCACCCCAACACGGUCCAGUCCUCACGGAACUACCGCUAGGGAAACUACACAAGGUAUUCAGAUUUGAUUGAUGUCCUCCAGGUGGCGGAGGCGCAGGAUGAGGUUCUCAAAAAGAACUUUGUCGCAUAACCACUUGGGAGGAGUUCUCGCAGGAGGUGAACGCUAUCAAAGUCCGCAAGCCUCAACAGAAGAAGAGGGGCCGCAAGGGCAAGAAGAAGGGCCCUCANNNNNNNUUGUGGCUCGGUGGAGCAUUUCUCCCGCCAGUGCCGUGCACCACCGGAGGUCGUUGAAGCAUACAAGGCUCGAAAGGCGCGUGAGACGCACCUCGCCUUGGUUCAGGAGGGAGCACCACCGGCGCCCAUGGCGGCACCCGUGGUGAUCGCUACGCCCCCUGCUGCGCCCAUAGAGGCGACUGUUGGGGACCGUAGUAAUUUCAAAAAAAUUCCUACGCACACGCAAGAUCAUGGUGAUGCAUAG
rnacentral:rRNA from 1 species